GUCCUCCACCUGUUGCGGACAGAUGAAAUGGAUGUGGCUGUCGACGCCGCCCGCGGUCAGGAUCUUGCCUUCGCCGGCGAUGACCUCGGUGCCGGGGCCGACGAUGAUGUCGACGCCGGGCUGGAUGUCGGGGUUGCCGGCCUUGCCGAUCUUCGCGAUGCGGCCGUUGGUGAUGGCGACGUCGGCCUUCACGAUGCCCCAAUGGUCGAUCACCAGGGCGUUGGUGAUGACGGUGUCGACGGCGCCCUCGGCCUGGCUCGCCUGCGACUGGCCCAUGCCGUCGCGGAU
rnacentral:sRNA from 1 species